rnacentral:rRNA from 1 species
CUUCCAUCUGGAAGAAUCUGGAGACAGGUGCUGCAUGGCUGUCGUCAGCUCGUGUCGUGAGAUGUUGGGUUAAGUCCCGCAACGAGCGCAACCCUUGCCUUUAGUUGCCAGCAGUUCGGCUGGGCACUCUAAAGGGACUGCCGGUGUUAAACCGGAGGAAGGUGGGGAUGACGUCAAGUCCUCAUGGCCUUUAUGACCAGGGCUACACACGUACUACAAUGGCCGAUACAAAGGGCAGCGACACUGCGAGGUGAAGCCAAUCCCGUAAAAUCGGUCUCAGUCCGGAUUGGAGUCUGCAACUCGACUCCAUGAAGUUGGAAUCGCUAGUAAUCGUGGAUCAGCAUGCUCGGGUGAAUGCGUUCCCGGGCCUU